GAUGAACGCUAGCGGCAGGCCUAAUACAUGCAAGCUGAACGGUAAAUGUUGUAGCAAUACAAUAUGAGAGUAGCGUAAGGGUGCGUAACACGUAUGCAAUCUACCCGCAACAGGAGGAUAGCUCCCCGAAAGGGGAAUUAAUACUCCAUAAGAUCACGAGAAGGCAUCUGAUUGUGAUUAAACUCCAAGGGGUUGCGGAUGAGCAUGCGCAUGAUUAGUUAGUUGGCGGGGUAACGGCCCACCAAGACGAUGAUCAUUAGGGGAACUGAGAGGUUGAUCCCCCACACUGGCACUGAGAUACGGGCCAGACUCCUACGGGAGGCAGCAGUAGGGAAUAUUGGUCAAUGGGUGAAAGCCUGAACCAGCCAUGCCGCGUGCAGGAAGAAAGCCUUCUGGGUUGUAAACUGCUUUUAUCUGGGGAUAAAAUACCCGUGCGCGGGGAAUUGAAGGUACCAGAUGAAUAAGCCACGGCUAACUACGUGCCAGCCGCCGCAGUAACAC
rnacentral:rRNA from 1 species